rnacentral:rRNA from 1 species
AUUGAACGCUGGCGGCAGGCCUAACACAUGCAAGUCGAGCGGAUGAAGGGGGCUUGCUCCUGGAUUCAGCGGCGGACGGGUGGGUAAUGCCUAGGAAUCUGCCUGGUCGUGGGGGAUAACGUCCGGAAACGGGCGCUAAUCUCGCAUACGUCCUGAGGUCGAAAGUGGGGGAUCUUCGGUCCUCACGCUAUCAGAUGAGCCUAGGACGGAUUAGCUAGUUGGUGGGGUAAAGGCCUACCAAGGCGACGAUGCGUAACUGGUCUGAGAGGAUGAUCAGUCACACUGGAACUGAGACACGGUCCAGACUCCUACGGGAGGCAGCAGUAGGGAAUCUUGCGCAAUGGGCGAAAGCCUGAUCCAGCCAUGCCGCGUGAGUGAUGAAGGUCUUCGGAUUGUAAAGCACUGUAAGUUGGGAGGAAGGAAAGUAAGUUAAUACCUUGCUGUUUUGACGUUACCAACAGAAUAAGCCCCGGCUAACUUCGUG